GACGAACGCUGGCGGCGUGCCUAAUACAUGCAAGUCGAACGCAGUGGGGACGGGUGAGUAACACGUGGGUAACCUCCCAUCAGAGGGGAUAACACUUGGAAAAAGGUGCUAAACCGAUACUGAUGGAUGGACCCGGGGUGCAUUAGCUAGUUGGUGAGGUAACGGCUCACAAAGGCCACGAUGCAUAGCCAACCUGAGAGGGUGAUCGGCCACACGGGUACUGAGACACGGCCCAGACUCCUACGUGCGGCAGCAGUAGGGAAUCUGCGGCAAUGGACGAAAGUCUGACCGAGCAACGCCGCGUGAGUGAAGAAGGUUUUCGGAUCGUAAACCUCUUUUGUUAGAGAAGCGGUAUCUAACCAGAAUGCCACGGCUAACUACGUGCCAGCAGCCGCGGUAUAC
rnacentral:rRNA from 1 species